GACGAACGCUGGCGGCGUGGAUUAGGCAUGCAAGUCGAACGGUAUCAUCCUUUCGGGGGUGAGAGAGUGGCGAACUGGUGAGUAACACGUAGGUUAUCUACCCUCAAGACGGGGACAACCCAGGGAAACUUGGGCUAAUACCGGAUGUGAGCAACUUUUAGUUGUUUGAAAGGUGGCGUAAGCUGUCGCUUGGGGAUGAGCCUGCGUCCUAUUAGUUAGUUGGUGAGGUAACGGCUCACCUAGGCAAUGAUAGGUAGGCGGCCUUAACGGGUGGUCGCCCACACUGGGAUUGAGAUACGGCCCAGACUCCUACGGGAGGCAGCAGUCGAGAAUAGUCUACAAUGGUCGGAAGACUGAUAGUGCGAGCCGCGUGAACGAUGAAUCCUUCGGGGUGUAAAGUUCUUUUAUAUGUGAGCAGUGCUUCUUAUAUUAACAGUAUGGGGAGUAGAGAGUAUUAGCAUAUUGAAUAAGCAAACGGUCUAAACGUCCGUGCCAGCAGCCGCGGUAAACUCG
rnacentral:rRNA from 1 species